UUUUUUCAAUUUUCCGCCAAAACCAUUCUCCUCAUAUCCUUCUCUUCUUUUCCCCUAUUCUCUAAUCACCUAAUUAAUAUCCAACCGUUUCAAAGCCCUAAAUCUAAGCCGAUUUACAUUUUGGUGAUUUCAACUGUGCCGCAUUCAUCUCUUACUUUCAACUACAUCGAUUUGUUCUUGAAGCAGGUAUUUUUUUACUGAAUCCAUCAUAUUAAUCUGGUAUCUGUAGAUGUCUUACUUUGAUUUCAUCCUCCCCUUAUACACAAACCCUAAAACUCUUCAUGUUCCAUCGCAAGAAGGCUUGAAACGCUUCUCAUUCCUCUCUCAACUUUCUAUGAGAUUGGAGCUUCCAUGAUAAAGAUAACCUUUCCUUUGUAUCUUACUCUGUAAAUCAAAAACCCUGAAUAUAAGUCGUUGGUGGUGAAGCAGGUCUGAUUAGAAAUUGAAGGAUCGAGACAUGCUUCUUGCUUCAUUGCAACAAAAUCAAUUUUACCCUAAAUCUACUUCAUUAACGCAUUCCCAGACUCUUUAAUGUUGUCUUCAACAUCUGUAAGAAUCAAUCUCUCUCCUUUUAUUCUUAGUCACUGUGUUAAUUUUGCGUUUAUUUCUUUGUUUUGCCUUGGUGUUUUGGUUGCUGAUUAUUAAUAUGUUUUGAGGCGGAAAUCAGGUUCGAAAACCAGCGGUAACAACAUAUAUCUCGGAAUUGAUCUUUUAUUUAGUUUGUAAAAUGCUAUGGCUCUUUUUUAUGUAUAAUUAAUAGGUUGAAAUCUCCAAUCUGAUUGUGUUUUUUGUAGGUAUAAACACACAUUAACUGCGUAUAUUCUUUAAAUCGUUAAGUAUUUUUUUUACAUUUUAAUUCGCUCUUAAACCCUAAAGUUAGAUAUGGUUUUCUUUUGACUGGCUCUGCUGCUGAAAUUUUGUCAUUAAGUGAAAAAUUAGUUUUGUUUUUGGGAAAAAUAAUCUUCGUCAGAAGUGUCUGAUUUUUUCUCAUAUAUGAUUUUUUGAAAUCCAAAGCUUUUGUAAUUUGAUUUGUAAUAGAUCUUCCUAUUUCUUCGGUUCGAUAAUGUGUCAUCUUGGGGCUGAAGAUGGAGAGACUGUCGUUGCUAAAGAUAUUAUGUCUUACCAAAUUCAGUUUUAUAUAGUUUAAUUUUCAAGUCAGUAGCAUGUAAAUGUCUUACUAAACCGUUAAAACUCAUCAAACUGCCUAACUGAAGCAAUUUUGCUGGUUCGACCAGUUUAAAAUAUGUACUACUUGGUUUUGGCAGUUUGAGGGUUUAUUGGUUCGGGAUACGAUUUGGAAAUUGGAACCCACCUGAUUACAUCGAACCAAUCUUGCUGGUUCGACCAGUUUGAAAUAUGUACGACUUGGUUUUGGCAGUUUGACGGUUUAUUGGUUCAGGAUACGAUUUGGAAAUUGGAACCCACCUGUUUAUAUCGAACCAAUCGCUUAACCAUUUUUAUUUAUUUUUUUUUUCAAUUUCGUAGUAUGUAGCUAUGUAUAGAAUCAUAUUCAAAACACCUCAACAAAUUUAUUUGAUGUUAGUCUUGGUUUAUAAAGAUUUACGGGUUUUAUGAUUUUUCUGUCGGUUAAUCAUUUCUUAAUACAAACAAGUCAACCCAACCAAUACUGUUGAAUUAUGUAAAUAAUAGGUUUCAAUAGGGGUGUGAUGCCAGUAGAUAUUACUUAAAAUUAAUCGUUAAAUUACCAUAAUUGUAUUUUCUUUACUGAAAGCGUCGUUUUUUUUCUUUUUUCUAGGUUUUGACUGGAGAUGAAUGGUAUGCUUUGUUCUUUCAUAUAUCAUGAAGUUGAUUUAAUUCAAUAGCAUAUUUUAUACUGUUAUUUAUUAUUUAACUAAUGAGUAGAUAACAUGUCUAAUUUUCUAUUAAUUUUUUUUAAUUAUCAUGGAUAUUCGCUCGCUGGACAUUCGCCUAUUUUUCCCUUAAACUAUUUACAGAGAAAUUGAAGUGUGGCGUAUUGAGUAUUUUAAGCCAGUGCCCAUUACACAGGCUUCUUAUGGCAAGUUUUUUACAUGGGACUCCUAUCUUAUAUUGAAGGAGAGCAAAAUUUUGAAGUUCUUAGGGUUUUAUAUUAAACCCGCUAGCAUGGGUCAUGGAAGUUGCUGCAAUUAUGGCAAUUGCACUUGCAAAUGGAAGAGUGACUAAUCUCAAGUUCUCAACUGUAUUCAAAUAUGCAACAGUGUUGAUAGCUAUAAGUUCUUUAUACUUGUUGUAAUAUGUAGAUCUUUCUUUCAGAUUAAUUGAUGAAACUGAGUUAUUGUGCAGGGUAAAGCACCUAAUUGGUUCAUUUAGAACAAGUGGGAUAGGUGUGGCACUGUCUGGUCCAGAUGGCGGCUGGCCUCCUAACUGUUGCGUCACCUGUUCAGGUCAAACUCCACACUCCUUCACUAAAGAAGAAAUUGAAUACUUAAUAAAGCGCAUUCAAGAUGGUGGAAACAAAGCUGUUAAGGAAAGGCAGAUCACUUUUCUUUAAAGGCGACAACAUGGACAACUUUUUUCAGGUUCGACGUUGCAUAGCAAGGAUGGCGAGUGUGCUGUUUGCUACUAGCAACCUGUUAUGCAGCCAUGACAACCUGAAUACCUAUUCUGAGUCGUCUGUUACAAGUCAUUAAAGUAUUGAAGCGGCACGGUACUUAAUACAAAAUUCUUGAUCAAUAUCAUUAGUUGCCGUCUUCUACAACCAAAUUAGUUAUAUAUAUAUAUAUAUAUUUUUACCAUUACUGUUGUUGGCUUGUGAUCAUACGCGGCGUGAAGUAACUCAGAAUUUUGUUGAAGACGCUCCAUUACAGAAGCACACAUCGGAAGACGACCUCUACAUACGAAUUACAAAUACUAACCAAUGGGGACGCCUAAAGUUUGUUUUUAACGCAUAAAACCUCCACUUGUUUUUAUUAGUUAUAUAUUUAGAUUUACAUUAUGAUUAUAGUACUACUGUUUUCUUCAAUCAUAAUUAGCACAUAAGUUAUUUUAAUGUUUUUAUAAGUAAAAAGUGUUUUCAUUACCCAACCUGUUGGCACGACAAUCUUGCCACAUCUGAAAAAGAAUACAAAUAUACGAUUGUGCGUGCUUUAAUAUGUAGUUUUUUUCAUAUCGGGCAAAGAACUCCACCACUCCAUCCUACCGGUGAUUACUUUGUAGCAAAGAGUAUUUGUCAAUUAGCAUGUGUACCGAAUAAAUUACUUUUUGUAUGAUUUAGUUAUGUGUUAACAUAAAUAGCUUUACUAUGAUUUUUUCAUUAAUUAUUGAUUAUAUGUGUUCUGCUCAAUAUAUGUUAAGGUCAAAAUAGGUUCGGGUGAGUCAAAACGGGUUUUGCUCAAAAUAGGUUCAUGUCAACAUGUGUUCUGCUCAAUAUAUGUUAAGGUCAAAACUGGUUAAAAAUGCUUUAUUUAAGAAAAUAUAUAUCAAAUAACCAAAGUUAUAAAAAAAAUCAUUAAAAAAAUGAAAUCUAUCCGGGUUCUAAAAAUUGCUAUAAAAUCAUUUGUACAAUAACAUCUCAAUACCUAUAAAAAAUGAAUCAAAACAUAUUUACCUAAGUGAGAAAAAUCAUAUUUUUAUACGUUUAUAUUGAAAAGUUCUUUCGUUACAAAGUUCAUCUCAUUGCCAGUAU